rnacentral:rRNA from 1 species
CGAGAGUGGCGAACGGCUGAGUAACACGUGGGCAACCUGCCCCCUCCACCGGGACAGCCUCGGGAAACCGUGGGUAAUACCGGAUACUCCGGGACGGCCGCAUGGCCGGCCCGGGAAAGCCCAGACGGGAGGGGAUGGGCCCGCGGCCUGUUAGCUAGUCGGCGGGGUAACGGCCCACCGAGGCGAUUAUGGGUAGCCGGGUUGAGAGACCGACCGGCCAGAUUGGGACUGAGACACGGCCCAGACUCCUACGGGAGGCAGCAGUAGGGAAUCUUCCACAAUGGACGAAAGUCUGAUGGAGCAACGCCGCGUGAGUGAAGAAGGGUUUCGGCUCGUAAAGCUCUGUUGGUAGUGAAGAAAGAUAGAGGUAGUAACUGGCCUUUAUUUGACGGUAAUUACUUAGGAAGUCACGGCUAACUACGUGCCAGCAGCCGCGGUAAUACGUAGGUGGCAAGCGUUGUCCGGAUUUAUUGGGCGUAAAGCGAGCGCAGGCGGAAAGAUAAGUCUGAUGUGAAAGCCCCCGGCUUAACCGAGGAAUUGCAUCGGAAACUGUGUUUCUUGAGUGCAGAAGAGGAGAGUGGAACUCCAUGUGUAGCGGUGGAAUGCGUAGAUAUAUGGAAGAACACCAGUGGCGAAGGCGGCUCUCUGGUCUGUAACUGACGCUGAGGCUCGAAAGCAUGGGUAGCGAACAGGAUUAGAUACCCUGGUAGUCCAUGCCGUAAACGAUGAGUGCUAAGUGUUGGGAGGUUUCCGCCUCUCAGUGCUGCAGCUAACGCAUUAAGCACUCCGCCUGGGGAGUACGACCGCAAGGUUGAAACUCAAAGGAAUUGACGGGGGCCCGCACAAGCGGUGGAGCAUGUGGUUUAAUUCGAAGCAACGCGAAGAACCUUACCAGGUCUUGACAUCUAGUGCCAUCCUAAGAGAUUAGGAGUUCCCUUCGGGGACACUAAGACAGGUGGUGCAUGGCUGUCGUCAGCUCGUGUCGUGAGAUGUUGGGUUAAGUCCCGCAACGAGCGCAACCCUUGUUAUUAGUUGCCAGCAUUAAGUUGGGCACUCUAAUGAGACUGCCGGUGACAAACCGGAGGAAGGUGGGGAUGACGUCAAGUCAUCAUGCCCCUUAUGACCUGGGCUACACACGUGCUACAAUGGGCAGUACAACGAGAAGCGAGCCUGCGAAGGCAAGCGGAUCUCUUAAAGCUGUUCUCAGUUCGGACUGCAGUCUGCAACUCGACUGCACGAAGCUGGAAUCGCUAGUAAUCGCGGAUCAGCACGCCGCGGUGAAU